CUGGAGAUGCAACUAAAGUCCACAGUAAACUUCUUUCAAGACACACCUCUUCCACAUAACAUUUCUUAACUAGCCAUGCCUUCAUUCAUAGCCCUCCUUUCAUGAGUUUACAAUCUGCUCUGUGCAUGAUUCAGCACGUAAUUAUGAGCUAGUUUAUAUUUUUAUCUGUUGAGUUUUUGUUUAUGCUACUGUGAUCUCCACAACUAGAUUGCAAGCUCUUUAAGGGGAAGAAAAACUAUCAUGUCAUAUUUCUUCGGUAUACUUCAAAGCUUUUGUCAUAAUAUUGAGUACACAGAGACUGUAAAAUAAAUACUUGAUUGCUACAAGUGUUGGCUGUGAAUAUUAAUAUUUUAUGUACAGUUUUUUGACUUUCACCCUCUUCAAUACCUUAAGAAUGCUCUACCAGAAGAAAAGUUAUGCAUAAACAGAUAAUUUAUAUUUUGAAAUUUGGUUAAAUACAAUUUUUCUGAGUUUAUUUAAAUAGAAUCCUAAUAGAUGGUCUCGAUUGGGAUUUCAUGUCCUGGUCUUUCCAGGAAAAUUAUUUUCCCAGUCUAUGCUAUAACUUCUAUUUCUUUAUAAUGUCAGGAACCCUAUGUGAAUGUUUUUGUGGGAAAAGUUCAGAGAAAUGAGGAGAAAAGAAAAUUGAGUUUCCUGGCAAUUUGAACUCAUAUUUGCAAAUCUUAUUGUCCAACAGAAAGGGAUACAAUAAACACUGAAAUGUUUGCCUAAAAGAAGGAGUAAAAAGAAAAUCAGACUAAAUUCCUUUAUCUACUACUUUCAGGGGCCAGACUGCAGGGACGUUCAGCACCAAAUCUUAUGCUAUUCUGAGGCCACGGACCCCUGCAACAGUGUAGCCAAAGUUCCCCUUUGACUCUUAUUAUAAAUACACAAUUUGUUGACUUUCUUUUUUUGCAUAUCUAGUUUAGUCCUCACAUAAAGCAUUAUUGUCUCUAUUUCAGAAAAAAAACGAAACUGCAGCUCAGAGAGCUUGAGUGAUCUGACUCACAUAGCACAGCAGUGGAGUUACAUGAGGACCUAGAUCUACUUCAUUACAAUUCUUACGUUCUUUCUAAUAUUUUCUGUGUCCCUCCAAAACAGACACAGAGUGAAAAAUAUGUUAGGGGAAGAAAUCCGAGAUUGGGUACUGCAAACAGAGGUAGACAUAGAGUUGUCACUGGGAAGGAGGGAAAGAGGGGAGAUAAAUAUUUUUGAAAAGGUGGCUAACAAAACAAGUUUGUUGCACAUUGAAUAUAAUCUGCUUCCACUUCCACAGUGGUCAGGAGAAGUUGUCAGAGUUUGGUUUUUUUUUUUCCCCAAGUCCUAAGAAGUACAUGAGAAAAAGCAGCAUUUUAUUAAAGUGUGCCCAGAAUAAGAAAGAUGUGGAAGAAAUUAACACAAUAAUAAACAAACUUCAUCUAAUCCCAUUCUAAACACACAAAAGCUGGCCAUGAACAGCUUUAGACAAACAUUUGAAGCAUUACAAGGAUUGUUAAUACUGUUGUGCAAUUAAAAUGUCAGUAGUUAAUGCCAACCUUGGGGAGAAAUUGAUUAAUUUAAUAGUUUCUCAAGGUGACAACAGUCAUCUGCAAUCCAGUAGUGAAGUCUGAUGUGCACUGCCU
ensembl:lncRNA